GACGAACGCUGGCGGCGUGCUUAACACAUGCAAGUCGAACGGAAAGGCCCUGCUUUUGUGGGGUGCUCGAGUGGCGAACGGGUGAGUAACACGGGAGUAACCUGCCCUGGACUUUGGGAUAACUUCAGGAAACUGGGGCUAAUACCGGAUAGGAGCUCCUGCUGCAUGGUGGGGGUUGGAAAUUUUCGGCGGUUGUGGAUGGACUCGCGGCUUAUCAGCUUGUUGGUGGGGUAGUGGCUUACCAAGGCUUUGGCGGGUAGCCGGCCUGAGAGGGUGACCGGCCACAUUGGGACUGCGAUACGGCCCAGACUCCUACGUGAGGCAGCAGUGGGGAAUAUUGCACAAUGGGCGGAAGCCUGAUGCAGCAACGUUGCGUGCGGGAUGACGGCCUUCUGGUUGUAAACCGCUGUCGCCUGUGACGAAGCGUGAGUGACGGUAAUGGGUAAAGAAGCACCGGCUAACUACGUG
rnacentral:rRNA from 1 species